GGGACAGAAGUUGAGUAAAUUGUUUUAACCUAAAUCAGUUAAGUCUGAUACUGCAUCCACCCAGCUUUAUCUUAUACCAGUUUUAGCCAUCUUGAAAGUGGUUUAUGUGCACUGAACUUCUGUUGUUAUAGGUUUAAAUCAGUUU